UGCAUUUCUAUCUUUCACUAACAGUGGGAGCACUGCUAAGCAGAUUUUUGCAAAUUUAGAUGCAAUUUACGAGAGAAGAAGCUUGGCAUAACAUCUAUCUCGGCGAAAGAAACUUUUAGCCAUGGAGUUAAAAGGAGCAAAAUUAGAUGAUAUGGAUAAAAUUUCCCAUUUACUUCUAACUCUUCCACCCAGUUAUAAUGGUUAUAACUCCAUAUAACUCAGUUAUAAUGGUUAUAACUCGGCAACAGAGACUCUAUCAGAAGAUAAUUUGACAUUGGCUUUUGUAAAAAAACGACUUCUUGACCAAGAAAUAAAGCUUCGGAAUAUUAGUAAGGAUACGAGUAUUAAAAUCUUGCAAGCAGUAGGUAAAAAGGAGUUCAAAGAUACAAAAUUUAACAAUAAUCCAAUGCAAAAGUUUAAAAAAAAAUUGUUCUAGCCAAGUUUCCAAGAUAAGCCAAGACAUUUAAAGAAGGAUUGUUUCUUUUUAAAAAGACAGCCAAAUCAGAAUUCUAACGAAAACAAAAGAAAGGAAGGGCAGGCUCAGAUGGCAACAGCAGCAGCAACCCAACCAGAGCGUAGUUUUGCCUUCAUGUUGAGAAAUGCAACUUCCAUAGAUAGAAUCUGUUGAUUCUGAGUUAAAUGAGCAACUCAAUGAAAAUUUCACAUAUCUUGAGAAUGCCGAUCCAGUCGUUGAAACUGGUGAUAAAUCAAAAGAAAAUAAAAAGGAAGAAGAAAUCAGACGCAGUGAAAGAAUUAAAAGUAAACCCAAAUUAUCGUAUCGAUUUUUAGAAAGAUGUCUUAUGAAUACUCAAACAUGCUUAGAUGAUAUUCCUAAUACCUUUGAUGAGAUUAAGUUUCGUGAGGACGUUCUUUCUGGGAAAAUGCUAUACAGGAUGAACUUAGAUCUCAUUUUCAAAAUAAUACUUGGACCUUAGUGCAUAAGCCAGAUAAUAAAAACAUAGUUGAUUGCAAAUGGGUAUUUAGUAUUAAAAAAGAUGAGUUUGGGAAAUUAGUAAAGUACAAAGCUAGACUUGUACCGCGGGGUUUCACUCAAGAAUAUAUGACUGAUUACGAUGAGACAUUUGCACCAGUUGCACGAAUUUCCAGUUUUAGAUUUUUGUUGGCACUUUCAAAUCAACAUGAUUUAAUGGUUCAUCAUAUGGAUGUAAAAACCGCAUUUUUAAAUGGAACUCUAAAGGAUGAAAUCUACAUGAAUGUUCCAAAAGACCUGAAUCUUUCUUAUGAGAAGAAAGUAUGUAAGCUUAAUAAAGCUUGAUAUGGCCUUAAGCAAGCUGCUAGAUGUUGGUUCGAAGUCUUUGAAAGUGUAUUGAAGGAUGUUGGAUUUCAAAACUUAGGAGUUGAUAGGUGUAUUUAUAUUUUGGAUAAGGGAGAUAUUUCGUAAAAUAUAUAUAUCCUGUUAUAUGUGGAUGAUAUAGUAAUUGCAACAAAUAAAUCAGAUACAAUGUCAAAAUUUAAAUCUUAUCUUCAUGAUAAGUUUCAAAUGACCGACUUACGGGAAAUUAGACACUUUAUUGGCAUAAAAAUUGACAGAUCUGAUGGAGAGAUUUGUUUUAGUCAAUCAGCAUUCUUAGAUAUCACAAGCUUAGAUUCAAGAUAGAAACUAAAUUUAAUAGUAUUCUUACAGGAUAUGUAGAUUCCGAUUGGGCGCGAAAUGAAACUGACAGAAGAAGUACCACUGGGUAUUUAUUUAAAAUGUUUGAAAGUUGUUUGAUUUCAGGGAGUACCAUGAAGCAAAAGUCAGUUGCUGCUUCAUCUACUGAAGCUGAAUACAUGGCCUUGUUUGAAGGUGUAAGAGCAGCUCUUUGGCUUAAAUCACUAAUAAAUGAGAUUAGUCUAAAAUUAAAUGGUCCUAUAGAGAUUUUUGAAGACAACCAGGGUUGUAUAAGUAUUGCAAAUAAUCCUACUUGCCAUAAGAGAACAAAGCACAUAGACAUUAAAUAUCAUUUUACAAGAGAAAGUAUAUUAGUAUAGUAUACAAGUAGUAAAGUAUAUUUCCACAGAUCUGCAACUAGCCGAUAUACUGACGAAGCCAUUACCAACUGCACGGUUUAUUUCCCUGCGAAGCCAGCUGGGACUUGCUGAGUAAAUCAACAAAAAAAAAAACUUUUUUUGUUAUUAAUUUCAAACUUAUGGAACUUAUUUUGUUAUCUAAAACUUAUGUUAAUAUUUUUUUUUGGUCUAGUUGGGUUUUUACUGGGUUUCCCCAACUCUUGCAGCAAAUGCUGGACCUAAUGUAUCCCCAGAAUUAAAUGAAAAUAUGAAGUUUUGAAAGAAAUGAAGAUACUAAUUAAAAUUAAAGCACAAACUCAUGUCAAGAAUCGUAGUGAUAAUCAAUGUAACUUUUAAGGCGGCGUAUUGAAAUUUGCGUAUUCAAAUAUGCAAAAGUAACAUAGACAGUUAUGCUAUAUAUUCACUUGAAUGUAAGGAUGUAGCAAGUGUAUACACACUAUAAAUGUGUUCCUUGUUUCUCGCCUAUUUGUUGAUAUCUUGUCCUCUUGACAUUUUACUUCACUUCGUUUCUGGCAUCGAGAGCGUGUGGUUUAUAAAAUCUUUA